rnacentral:rRNA from 1 species
AGUGAACGCUGGCGGUAGGCCUAACACAUGCAAGUCGAACGGCAGCACAGUAAGAGCUUGCUCUUACGGGUGGCGAGUGGCGGACGGGUGAGGAAUACAGCGGAAUCUACUUUUUCGUGGGGGAUAACGUAGGGAAACUUACGCUAAUACCGCAUACGACCUACGGGUGAAAGCAGGGGAUCUUCGGACCUUGCGCGAUUGAAUGAGCCGAUGUCGGAUUAGCUAGUUGGCGGGGUAAAGGCCCACCAAGGCGACGAUCCGUAGCUGGUCUGAGAGGAUGAUCAGCCACACUGGAACUGAGACACGGUCCAGACUCCUACGGGAGGCAGCAGUGGGGAAUAUUGGACAAUGGGCGCAAGCCUGAUCCAGCCAUACCGCGUGGGUGAAGAAGGCCUUCGGGUUGUAAAGCCCUUUUGUUGGGAAAGAAAAGCAGCAGGUUAAUACCCCGCUGUUCUGACGGUUCCCAAAGAAUAAGCACCGGCUAACUUCGUG